rnacentral:rRNA from 1 species
CGCGGCCUAUCAGCUUGUUGGUGAGGUAAUGGCUCACCAAGGCAUCGACGGGUAGCUGGUCUGAGAGGACGAUCAGCCACACUGGGACUGAGACACGGCCCAGACUCCUACGGGAGGCAGCAGUGGGGAAUAUUGCGCAAUGGGCGAAAGCCUGACGCAGCAACGCCGCGUGUGCGUGACAGCUUUCGGGUUGUAAACCACUUUCAGUGACGACGAAAAUGACGGUAGUCACAGAAGAAGGUCCGGCCAACUACGUGCCAGCGGCCGCGGUAAUACGUAGGGACCAAGCGUUGUCCGGAAUUAUUGGGCGUAAAGAGCUCGUAGGCGGUUCGGUAAGUCGGGUGUGAAAAUCCAGGGCUCAACCCUGGGACGCCACCCGAUACUGCUGUGACUAGGGUCCGGUAGAGGAGUGUGGAAUUCCUGGUGUAGCCGUGAAAUGCGCAGAUAUCAGGAGGAACACCAGCGGCGAAGGCGGCACUCUGGGCCGGUACUGACGCUGAGGAGCGAAAGCAUGGGGAGCAAACAGGAUUAGAUACCCUGGUAGUCCAUGCCGUAAACGUUGGGCACUAGGUAUGGGACCUUAUCAACGGGUUCCGUGCCGUAGCUAAGGCAUUAAGUGCCCCGCCUGGUACGG